rnacentral:misc_RNA from 1 species
CGAAAUGCGAUAAGUAAUGUGAAUUGCAGAAUUCAGUGAAUCAUCGAAUCUUUGAACGCACCUUGCGCUCCUUGGUAUUCCUUGGAGCAUGCCUGUUUGAGUAUCAUGAAAUCUUCAAAGUAAAUCUUUUGUUAACUCAAUUGGUUUCUACUUUGGUAUUGGAGGUCUUUGCAGCUUCACACCUGCUCCUCUUUGUUCAUUAGCUGGAUCUCAGUGUUAUGCUUGGUUCCACUCGGCGUGAUAAGUUAUCUAUCGCUGAGGACACUGUAAAAGGUGGCCAAGGUAAAUGCAGAUGAACCGCCUCUAAUAGUCCAUUGACUUGGACAAUACUUUUAUGAUCUGAUCUCAAAUCAGGUAGGACUACCCGCUGAACUUAAGC